rnacentral:lncRNA from 1 species
UUGAAAUGAUGAACAAUUUACUUCACUGUUGGUUUGAUACUCAGCAGGCAUCAUUUUGUAAAGACAUAAACAAACAAAUUUUGCUAGUUUCCUCAUAUUGUAAAUAUCCCAGUGACGAACAAUGUUUAGUAAUCCGAAACUGUACGUGAAACAGUUUCACAAGAGCAUGGUGCUCCCUCCAUGCAGAGGUUGAGGAACCAUUUGCUCAUAGUUUCACGUACCAGGUGAAAUUUAGGCGAAAAGCUGAGGG